GAUCAUGGCUCAGGACGAACGCUGGCGGCGUGCCUAAUACAUGCAAGUAGAACGCUGAAGAGAGGAGCUUGCUCUUCUUGGAUGAGUUGCGAACGGGUGAGUAACGCGUAGGUAACCUGCCUUGUAGCGGGGGAUAACUAUUGGAAACGAUAGCUAAUACCGCAUAACAAUGGAUGACCCAUGUCAUUUAUUUUGAAAGGGGCGAAAUGCUCCACUACAAGAUGGACCUGCGUUG
rnacentral:rRNA from 1 species